UACGUAGGGGGCUAGCGUUGUCCGGAAUCAUUGGGCGUAAAGCGCGUGUAGGCGGCCCGGUAAGUCCGCUGUGAAAGUCGGGGGCUCAACCCUCGGAUGCCGGUGGAUACUGUCGGGCUCGAGUACGGAAGAGGCGAGUGGAAUUCCUGGUGUAGCGGUGAAAUGCGCAGAUAUCAGGAGGAACACCAAUUGCGAAGGCAGCUCGCUGGGACGUUACUGACGCUGAGACGCGAGAGCGUGGGGAGCAAACAGG
rnacentral:rRNA from 1 species